rnacentral:lncRNA from 1 species
GGCUUCUUUACAAUUGUAAAAUAAUUUACAGUUCAUUAUUCUUGAACAUUUUUCUCACAUCACCUAAUGAUUCAAAAUUACUUUAACAAAUCAAUUUAAUGUAUAAUGUAACAAUCGAUAAUCUUUGUUGAUAUUUUCUGACCCAAAUUUGAUUAUUCUAAGACGACCCCUUCAUUCUAAUGUGGCCAUGUGUUGGAGUAAGUAAAGUGAAGAUAUGAGACAACAG